AAGCAUGUCAAAAGGACAUCUUUUGGUCAUCUACUUGUAUCUUUCUCAAGCUUCAUAGAGAAAUUCACCAUCUUUUUGUUUGAAGGUCUAAACAUACACUCUAAGCUU